UACGGGGGGGGCAAGCGUUGUUCGGAAUUACUGGGCGUAAAGGGUUCGUAGGUGGCUCGCUAAGUCAGACGUGAAAUCCCUCAGCUUAACUGGGGAACUGCGUCUGAGACUGGCAGGCUCGAGUGCAGGAGAGGAACACGGAAUUCCAGGUGUAGCGGUGAAAUGCGUAGAUAUCUGGAGGAACACCGGUGGCGAAGGCGGCGUUCUGGACUGCAACUGACACUGAGUGAACGAAAGCCAGGGGAGCAAACGGG
rnacentral:rRNA from 1 species